rnacentral:rRNA from 1 species
GAUGAACGCUGGCGGCGUGCCUAACACAUGCAAGUCGAGCGAACAGACGAGAGUGCUUGCACUCUCUGACGUUAGCGGCGGACGGGUGAGUAACACGUGGGUAACCUACCUAUAAGACUGGGAUAACUUCGGGAAACCGGAGCUAAUACCGGAUAAUAUUUAGCUUCGCAUGAAGCAAUAGUGAAAGACGGUUCUACUGUCACUUAUAGAUGGACCCGCGGUGUAUUAGCUAGUUGGUGAGGUAACGGCUCACCAAGGCAACGAUACAUAGCCGACCUGAGAGGGUGAUCGGCCACACUGGGACUGAGACACGGCCCAGACUCCUACGGGAGGCAGCAGUAGGGAAUCUUCCGCAAUGGACGAAAGUCUGACGGAGCAAUGCCGCGUGAGUGAAGAAGGUUUUCGGAUCGUAAAACUCUGUUGUAAGGGAAGAACAAGUACGUUAGUAACUGAACGUACCUUGACGGUACCUUACCAGAAAGCCACGGCUAACUACGUG